rnacentral:lncRNA from 1 species
GGUAAGAACGUGAACAAAAAUUUUAGAAAGAUGAUUGCCUGACUGUACUAAAACUAAUUAGGAGCCUUCUAUAAUAGAUGACAAUGGCUUGAACCGAGGUACUGGUAGGAGACUCAGAAUAUUAGGCAUCAGAAAGACAGAAAAAGUACACUGAAUGCAAACCUUUGUUUUCGAGGAAAUUUCUUUAAGAGGCAGAUCUUUAUAUCUUUCUAUUUGAUUUUGCUUUUCCAAAACUACAGAUGGGAAAAUACAACAAAGAAAUAGUUGUAACAAAGCAGGAAAAAAUACAGAACCCGACCUUGGGGAAAUCAUUCAAUAAACAUCUACUGAUCAACCACCAUUGAUACAUACUGCUCCUUGGAACAAUUCUCUGUAUACCCUAGAAAGUUAUAGAAAGGCUUAAAUUCUUUGCUAAGCUUCAGGAUAUGUGCUAUCUGAUGGAAAAGGGCAUUUCUGAGCGCUGGGGGCCCUUCUUAUAGGAUAAAAUCUUUUAGAAAAUAUUUCA